AGCGAACGCUGGCGGCAGGCUUAACACAUGCGAGUCGAGCGGGCACUUUCGGGUGUCCGCGGCGGACGGGUGCGUAACGCGUGGGAACGUGCCCUCUGGUUCGGAAUAACUCAGGGAAACUUGAGCUAAUACCGGAUACGCCCUUUUGGGGAAAGGCUUGCUGCCGGAGGAUCGGCCCGCGUCUGAUUAGCUAGUUGGUGAGGUAACGGCUCACCAAGGCGACGAUCAGUAGCUGGUCUGAGAGGAUGAUCAGCCACACUGGGACUGAGACACGGCCCAGACUCCUACGGGAGGCAGCAGUGGGGAAUAUUGGACAAUGGGCGCAAGCCUGAUCCAGCCAUGCCGCGGGAGUGAUCAAGGCCUUAGGGUGGUAAAGCUCUUUUAGCCGGGACGAUAAGGACGGUACCGGAGGAAUAAGCCCCGGCUAACUUCGG
rnacentral:rRNA from 1 species